GGGGUUGUGGCUCAGUGGUAGAGCACUUGUCUAGCACGUAUGAGGCACUGAGUUCAAUUCUCAGCAUCACAU
rfam:Ictidomys tridecemlineatus contig013408, whole genome shotgun sequence.